rnacentral:rRNA from 1 species
GCCACCGAAAGGUGGUCUAAUACUUCAUAAUAUCCAUCUCGUAUGGAUUAAAGCUUUAUGCGCUUUGGGAGGGGCCUGCGUAACAUUAGCUUGUUGGUGAGGUAAAAGCUCACCAAGGCUUCGAUGUUUAACUGGUUUGAGAGGAUGACCAGUCACACUGGGACUGAGAUACGGCCCAGACUCCUACGGGAGGCAGCAGUAAGGAAUCUUCCACAAUGGGGCAACCCUGAUGGAGCAAUACCGCGUGCAGGAUGAAGCGUUUCGGCGUGUAAACUGCUUUUAUCACCGAAGAUUAUGACUGUAGGUGAAGAAUAAGGACCGGCUAACUACGUG